GACGAACGCUGGCGGCGUGCUUAACACAUGCAAGUCGAACGGUGAAGCGCCUUCCUUUUUGGUGGGUGUGGAUGAGUGGCGAACGGGUGAGUAACACGUGAGUAACCUGCCCCCUUCUUCUGGAUAACCGCAUGAAAGUGUGGCUAAUACGGGAUAUUCUGGGUCUGUCGCAUGAUGGGUCUGGGAAAGAUAUUGUUUCGGUGGGGGAUGGGCUCGCGGCCUAUCAGCUUGUUGGUGGGGUGAUGGCCUACCAAGGCGGUGACGGGUAGCCGGCCUGAGAGGGUGGACGGUCACACUGGGAGUGAGACACGGCGCAGACUCCUACGGGAGGCAGCAGUGGGGAAUAUUGCACAAUGGGCGCAAGCCUGAUGCAGCGACGCCGCGUGAGGGAUGGAGGCCUUCGGGUUGUGAACGUCUUUCGCCAGUGAAGCAGGCCUGCCUCGUUUGUGGGUGGGUUGACGGUAGCUGGAUAAGAAGCGCCGGCUAACUACGUG
rnacentral:rRNA from 1 species